UACGUAGGGGGCUAGCGUUGUCCGGAAUCAUUGGGCGUAAAGAGCGUGUAGGCGGCCCGGUAAGUCCGCUGUGAAAGUCGGGGGCUCAACCCUCGAAUGCCGGUGGAUACUGUCGGGCUAGAGUGCGGAAGAGGCGAGUGGAAUUCCUGGUGUAGCGGUGAAAUGCGCAGAUAUCAGGAGGAACACCGGUGGCGAAGGCGGGUCUCUGGGCCGAUACUGACGCUGAGGCGCGACAGCGUGGGGAGCAAACAGG
rnacentral:rRNA from 1 species